rnacentral:misc_RNA from 1 species
CCGAAUCUUAGAUCCAUGGUGAACCAAGUUGGAUCUAGGAAAGAAAAAUCCCUUCUGCCUCUUCUCUAUUUUGAUUCUACAUUAAUUUUUGUAUCAAUUAAAGCCUGGAUUAUUUUACAAUUAACAAUACUUUUUGUCUUCCAAAUUUUGAUAAACAAAAAUGCCAAAAAAAUCCAUGAAUUGCCCAAAAUAAAUUACAUAGCUCAAAUCAACUAAUUUCCAUUUUUCAUGGCUGUAGGAUACCAUCAGCCAGUGCUGAAGGGAUGUUAUCAUAGACAAUCUUUUGAUGGAGAAAAUGGAAGCUU